AUUCUUUUAAAUUCAAAUUCAGUUAGUGUUUGAAUUAGUUAAAAUUCUUUCUCUUGAGGUAUCCCUCUCGCUUUCUCUCUUCUCCACGCAUCUUCACCUCUCGCCAAUCUCUCUCUAACUCUGCUACAGAUUGAUUAUUAGACACCUUUUUUUUUUAAUCCCUUUGUAUUUGGGUUUCUUCAAUAGCCGUCCCGUCUGCUCAAACCCAUUCUUCAAACCUCUUGGAAGACACCUUGGGUUUCGUUGUUCUCCUCCGUCUACACCAGCGCCGUGCAUUCGUAAGCGAUUUCGUUGUUCUCCUCCAUCGCCGCUGCACUCCGAUCAGGUGUUGAAAGGUUCAAAGGCGGCAGUGGAUGAUGAUGAGCCUCCCAAGAUCAGCUUUAGAUUAGAGAUGGCGGAUGAUGAGACGAUACGGUGUGCAGCUGGAAUAGGAAACUGGAUCACUAAUGAUUUUAAAAUUUAUAUACACUAAUUAUGAGCAUGGAAGUUACAUUGCGCAAAACAAGCUCAUCUUCAGCUAAUGAGGUAUAUAGACAAAGAAAAAAUCUACAAAGGCAAAAGAAACGUAAACGAAAUGCAAGUGAUUUGAAUUGUUCAUUGCUACAUGAAUUGAAAAAUGUGUCUGAUUGCAUUCAUUGUGGUGCAAGAAGAUUUGAAUAUGAACCUCCUACCUUUUGUUGUGAUAAUGGAAAAGUUAAACUUGCAUUUUUUGAAGUUCCUCCGGAGUUGGAUGAAUUGAUUACAGCCCAGUCAAAAGAAGCUAUUAAUUUCAGAAGGAA